rnacentral:rRNA from 1 species
UACGGGGGGGGCAAGCGUUGUUCGGAAUUACUGGGCGUAAAGCGUGCGUAGGUGGUUCGUUAAGUCUGAUGUGAAAGCCCUGGGCUCAACCUGGGAACGGCAUUGGAUACUGGCGAUCUGGAGUGCGGUAGAGGGUGGCGGAAUUCCCGGUGUAGCAGUGAAAUGCGUAGAUAUCGGGAGGAACAUCCGUGGCGAAGGCGGCCACCUGGACCAGCACUGACACUGAGGCACGAAAGCGUGGGGAGCAAACAGG